rnacentral:rRNA from 1 species
CCCUUAGAUGUUCUGGGCCGCACGCGUGCUACACUGAGUGGAUCAGCGGGUCAGGUUGCGCGAAAGUGUUUCCUAAUCUUUAAAUCCGCUCGUGAUGGGGAUUGACGGUUGCAAUUUUCCGUCAUGAACGAGGAAUACCUUGUAAGCGCGGGUCAUCAUCCCGCGCUGAAUACGUCCCUGCCCUUUGUACACACCGCCCGUCGCUCCUACCGAUUGAGUGGUCCGGUGAGGCUUUGGGAACUGAGCGGAAAGAGCGUUUCGCUGUUUCUGCCCGGAAAACUCAGUCGAACCUUAUCAUUUAGAGGAAGGAGAAGUCGUAACA